UGGCCUCCACCGCCGCCGUGGCCUCCACCACCGCCGUGGCCUUGUGUUUCAGCAUUUAGUUGGCCUUCAUUUGCAGCUACAUAUAUAUACAUACAACAUAGAGUAAUUAGACUGAACAUGACGUUUAAGAAAAUUAGAAUCCUUUUGACACACAUAAAAGUUGUAUGUAGAGGCGAAUUCAAAUUUUUAAAGUAAUUAUUUCUGAAUUCUAGAAGUGAAAAGAUAGCUUAAUUAUUUCAACACAACUAAUUAUAAAAAUGACAUCCUUAAUUAGUUACGGAUCAAAUGUGUCAUGAUAUUUUUAUGAUGAUAACAACAUAUUAUCAAGAGAAAAAAGAAAAUUUUAACGUUAAAAACCUUCAAAUAUAGAAAAAUAACAAUAUUCCUUUUAGGACAGAACAAAAAAAAAGUGUUGUUAUGAAGUGAAAUCACUAUAUAAAAAAUGAUCUUUAGCGAUAAUUAAUUAACGAUAGCAUAGUUUAAUUGCCGCUAAAUAUAUACUUUUAGUGGCAAUUAACACUCUUUGUAAAUGUCCCUAAAGCCUAUAACAACAUUGGAUUCAAUGACAAUGAACUACUGCCGGUAAAGACUUUAGCACUCUUUGUUGCUGCUAAAAAUUAUUUUUAUUGUACUGAAUCGUCGAAUUAUAUUCUAUUUCUUGUCAUAAUUAAUUGCAUGCAUGAACUAUAUAUAUAUAAAUAUGUAAGACAAUAAAUCCAUAUGUUUAAGAAAAUUAAAAUAGCAAUUAAUUAAAAACUUUAUAUUACCUUUAGUCUCAUCAACUGCUAGAGCUGAAACAAGAAAAAGUGAAGCACAUAAAAGUGCUAGCAGAAUAAUUAUGCUAUUAUUGAUCUUCAUAUUUUCUUUCACUAUCCAACAAAGAAAGAUUUUUGAG
rnacentral:lncRNA from 1 species